AUGGCUGUUCCAGCUGCGCCCAUGGCCGUCGGCGCUCUCCAUGCACAACGCCCCACCACACCGCCCCUCUCGCUUCCGUGGAUGAGGGAGAGCUGCGUGAGCACCGCAACAGGACUGCUCGCCGGGGAAGAUUGCCGUGGCAUGGCUGGCCAUGGUGGCAAGCAGUGGUUGCGGUGGGAUGGGAUUGAAAUUAGAGAGAUUGGGGAAAGGGAUUGGGGAAUGAGUGGUCGGGCAGCUCGCCGGGGGAAGAUUGCCGUGGCAUGGCUGGCCAUGGUGGCAAGCAGCGGUUGCGGUGGGAUGAGAUUGAAACUAGAGAGAUUGGGGGAAGGGAUUAGGGAAUGA
rnacentral:rRNA from 1 species